GGUAGUGUGGUCCAGUGGUCUAAGACCCUGGAUUUAGGCUCCAGUCUCUGCCGAGGUGUGGGUUUGAAUCCCACUGCUGCCA
rfam:Loxodonta africana unplaced genomic scaffold scaffold_143, whole genome shotgun sequence.